GUAGUAAUAGUAGUAAUAGAAGUAACUCUUCUAGUAUGUGAAGGUAGUAGUAGUAGUAGUAACUCUUCUAGAAUGUGAAGGUGGUAGUUGUAGUAACUCUUCUAGAAUGUGAAGGUGGUAGUAGUAGUAACUCUUCUAGAAUGUGAAGGUGGUAGUAGUAGCAACUCUUCUAGUGUGUGAAGGUAGUAGUAGUAGUAGUAGUAACUUCCAGAAUGUGAAAGUAGUAGUAGUAACUCUUCUAGAAUGUGAAGGUAGUAGUAGUAGUAGUAGUAGUAGUAGUAGUAGUAACUCUUCUAGAAUGUGAAGGUAGUAGUAGUAGUAGUAGUAGUAACUCUUCUAGUAUGUGAAGGUAGUAGUAGUAAUAGUAGCAACUCUUCUAGUAUGUGAAGGUAGUAGUAGUAAUAGUAGCAACUCUUCUAGUAUGUGAAGGUAGUAGUAGUAACUAUUCUAGUAGGUAGCAGUAGUAGUAGUAGUAGUAGUAACUAUUCUAGUAGGUAGCAGUAGUAGUAGUAGUAGUAGUAGUAACUCUUCUAGUAUGUGAAGGUAGUAGUAGUAGUAGUAGUAACUAUUCUAGAAUGUGAAGGUAGUAGUAGUAGUAGUAGUAGUAGUAGUAGUAGUAACUCUUCUAGAAUGUGAAGGUAGUAGUAGUAGUAGUAGUAGUAACUCUUCUAGUAUGUGAAGGUAGUAGUAGUAAUAGUAGCAACUCUUCUAGUAUGUGAAGGUAGUAGUAGUAGUAACUCUUCUAGUAUGUGAAGGUGGUAGUAGUAGUAACUCUUCUAGAAUGUGAAGGUGGUAGUAGAAGUAACUCUUCUAGUAUGUGGAGGUAGUAGUAGUAAUAGUAGUAACUAUUCUAGUAUGUGAAGGUAGUAGUAGUAGUAACUCUAGUGUGUGAAGGUAGUAGUAGUAGUAGUAGUAGUAGUAGUAGUAACUUCCAGAAUGUGAAGGUAGUAGUAGUAACUCUUCUAGAAUGUGAAGGUAGUAGUAGUAGUAACUCUUCUAGUAUGUGAAGGUAGUAGUAGUAGUAGUAGUAGUAACUCUUCUAGAAUGUUACGGCAGUAGUAGUAGUAGUAACUAUUCUAGUAGGUAGCAGCAGUAGUAGUAGUAGUAGUAGUAGUAACUCUUCUAGUAUGUGAAGGUAGUUGUAAUAGUAGUAGUAGUAGUGUACCCCAUGGUUCCUAGUCCAAAGUAGUGUACCCUAUGGUUCCUAGUCCAAAGUAGUGUACCCUAUGGUUCCUAGUCCAAAGUAGUGUACCCUAUGGUUCCUAGUCCAAAGUAGUGUACCCUAUGGUUCCUAGUCCAAAGUAGUGUACCCUAUGGUUCCUAGUCCAAAGUAGUGUACCCUAUGGUUCCUAGUCCAAAGUAGUGUACCCUAUGGUUCCUAGUCCAAAGUAGUGUACCCUAUGGUUCCUAGUCCAAAGUAGUGUACCCUAUGGUUCCUAGUUCAAAGUAGUGUACCCUAUGGUUCCUAGUCCAAAGUAGUGUACCCUAUGGUUCCUAGUCCAAAGUAGUGUACCCUAUGGUUCCUAGUCCAAAGUAGUGUACCCUAUGGUUCCUAGUCCAAAGUAGUGUACCCUAUGGUU